CCUUUUUCCCUUUUCUUUUUCUAUUUUCCUUUUUUUUCCCUCCUUUUUUCCCUUUCUCUUUUCUUUUUCUAUUUUCCUUUUUUUCCCUCCUGGCCGAACUCCCCUCCCGCUCUCCCCCACGUGCAUGAUCUCCACCCACCUCCCCUGCCGUACUCUCUUCCCCCUUCUUUUGGUCGCACAGCACCCACCUCCCCCUCUCCAAGCCGUGAGCAGCCCAUCUCCACCUCUCUCUCACC
rnacentral:lncRNA from 1 species